UGUUCCUAGAGAUGCUAGAAUUCUAGAGAAUUUUAUCUUUGAAAAUCUUUAAAAUGUUGCAUGAUGAGUUCCUAUAUGAUGAGAGUUUAAAAUCCUACCACAACCAUAUAUACAUGCUUAUUAGACUAUGAACCAUACAUGUACUUUUUACUGCUUAUGAGUAUUGAGUGUGGUCAAUCUGUGUAGACCCUUAGGAGCUUGUCAUGCGGUUAAAAUCAAGAUCCACUUGCACGUUCACUCAUACGUGCUGCUUCUACUCCGGAAGUACGCAUCCACAUACAUCCACUCAUUUCCAUCUCAGAUUUACCCAAAAUUAUUCUACUCCUAUCUAGGAGAGAAUAGCCAAAAACAUUAUCCUAUCCCUGUUAUUCCCCGUGAAAUAAAUGCUCGAGAUAUUUUGGUUACUACCACUUGCUACAUUAUUCCAGGAGGGUGAGUGCUCUGAAAAAAAGUGAAUACGAGGAAAUAAAAAGGGGCAAGUGCCCGAAAGCUCGAAGAAAAGAAAAAGUGAGACGAGAGGUAAAAAUGGACAGUGUCCGACAGUAGAAUUAGGGGUACAAGAUACCCACCUGAGAGAAAAGAAAAAAAAGAUAAUAUAGAGCAUCUCAUUCCCCUCAAAAAGCUUCCAAGUGCAAGAAAGGUAUGUAUCCCCUCAAAAGAGCAAAAGUAGAAUUAGACUUUCACCAUUGUUUUCACCAUUGUUUUCACCAUCAUCACCAUACACCAUUCAUUUGCCACACAUGCACAUCUUGAUAUUGACUUAUUGACUCGUUUCUCUGGAUCCAUGGUUUGACUAUGCAAUAAAUGUCUUGUAAGUAUGUAUUAGCUGUCUCCCACCUAUGAGCUCCAUAUAUCAAAACCUUAUUAGAGUAGGGUGAGAGAGAAGGCAAUAUCACUAUGCCUCAUACCAAAAAUACCACAUACUUUGAGAGUUGGCAUAUACCAUUACUGCCUUGGUAAGGAUCC
rnacentral:lncRNA from 1 species